AAGUCGUAACAAGGUUUCCGUAGGUGAACCUGCGGAAGGAUCAUUAACAAAUCAUUGUAGGCGCAAGCCUAUAUACACCCGUUGUCGGGAAGGGCCUUGGCCCAGACCGACUCUGGUUGCAGCCCUCGGGCUGUAGGCCGCUGUCUGCUUCGGUGGACGGCGGCCACAUAGACGCUUGUAUGUUUGACAGAGUUUAGUUGCAUCGUAACAAAUACAACUUUUAACAAUGGAUCUCUUGGCUCUU
rnacentral:misc_RNA from 1 species